GAACCACCAUAGCUAAAAUCAAACACGAUGUUUCCUCUCAAUCCCAAACACUUGCCCAAAUCAUUGUCCUCUCUCUUCUCAGCCUACGCUUCCUUUACAGCACUCAAGUUCUUGCUCCAGACCGUUGUCAAUGAGCUCAAAGACUUCAUUCCCUCCUGGGUCCGAUCAUACAUAUACUCAAAGCUUCGGAAAUUCUUGUUUGGACCUCCCUCAAAUGAUAAGCUCACUCUUGUCAUCAACAAGAACAUCGGCAUGGCGACCAACGAGAUCUACGACAAGGUGGAGGUCUACCUCGGAUCCAAGAUUAGUCCCUCCGAUUCUCGGCUCGAACUGAGCAAGACUAGCCGGCAGAAGAGUGUCAGCCUCGCCGUUGAGAAAAGAGGCCAAGUUAUCAAGGACAAAUUCGAUGACAUAAAGCUCCGGUGGAGCUACGUGGAAAGAUCAUCAAAGAAGAACAAAACAAAGUACAAGCCUCAUGGUGAUGAUGAUGGAGAAGACCAGUAUCAGUGGAGCUUUGAGUUGACUUUUGAUAAGCAACAUAGAGACAAAGUGAUCGACUCCUACAUGCCCUAUGUGCUUGCUCAGGCGGAGUCCAUUAAACAAGAGGAAAGGGUUCUGAAGCUUUAUAGCGCUGGCAGGGAGGAGUAUAAGUCUUCCAAGAGUUGCAUAGACCUCGUGCACCCUGCAACUUUCGAGACGAUGGCAAUGGAUCCAGAGCUGAAGAAGAUGAUUAUAGAUGACUUGGAUCGGUUUGUGAAGAGAAGGGAGUUGUAUAAGAAGGUUGGUAAGGCUUGGAAAAGAGGGUAUUUGUUGUACGGUCCACCCGGUACUGGUAAAUCCAGCUUGAUUGCAGCCAUGGCUAAUUAUCUCAAGUUUGAUGUGUAUGAUUUGGAGCUUUCUAACAUUUACGGAAACUCUGACUUGAGGAGGAUUUUACUUUCUACAUCAAAUCGUUCUAUUGUGGUUGUGGAGGAUAUUGAUUGCAGUGUGCAAAUCAAAAGUAGGGAAUCAGCUCUGCCUUCUAAAAGCUCUGCAGUUCAGGCAAGCAAGUUCACACUGUCUGGUCUGCUGAACUUCAUAGAUGGGCUGUGGUCCUGUUGCGGCGAUGAGCGAAUAAUUGUGUUCACCACCAAUCACAAGGAGAGAUUAGACCCGGCAUUGUUGCGUCCUGGUCGAAUGGACUUGCACAUUCACUUGUCAUAUUGCACUCCAAGUGGGUUCAGAAUCUUAGCCUCUAACUACCUUGGCAUUCAUGAAAGCAGCCCUCAUCACCUCUUUGGAGAAAUCGAAAGCUUGAUAGAGAGCACAGAGAUCACCCCUGCAGCUAUAGCAGAGGAGCUUAUGAAGAGUGAUGAUGCAGAUGUUGUUCUAGAAGGGCUUGUCAAAUUCCUCAAAGAAAAGAAGGCUGCAGAUGAAAAAAUGAAGUCAAAAAAGGCUAAUAAAAGAGCUGAGCAGGAAAGGAUAAAACCCAAGGAUAAUCCUAGUUCAUUCUCUCCUUGGAAAUCCAUAUUCGGUUUGGGUUUGCCAUGGUAUGGCAGAUGCUCUAAGACAGCAGAGGAGGAAGAGAGUAAAACAGGGAAGGAGAAAGUUAGGCUAACACACAACACAAUGUUUCCUCUCAAUCCCCAACACUUGCCCAAAUCAUUGUCCUCUCUCUUCUCAGCCUACGCUUCCUUUACAGCGUUCAAGUUCUUGCUCCAAUCCCUUGUCAAUGAGCUCAAACACUUCAUCCCCCCCUGGGUCCGAUCUUACAUAUACUCCAAGCUUCGAAAAUACUUCUUCAAAUCUCGCCCAAAUGACAAUCUCACUCUUGUCAUCAACAAGGUCAUCGGCAUGGAGCUCAACGAGGCCUACGACAAGGUGGAGGUUUACCUCGGAGCCAAGAUUAGUCCCUCCGAUUCGCGACUCGAACUGAGCAAGACGAACCGGCAGAAGAGUGUCAGCCUUGCCAUUGAGAAAAGAGGCCAAGUUAUCACGGACACAUUCGAUGACAUUGAGCUCCGAUGGCGCUAUGUGUCCAAAUUAUCAAAGAAUACUUGCACAACGAAGGACAGCUUUGAGUUAACUUUCGAUAAGAAACACAGAGACAAAGUGAUAGACUCGUACAUGCCCUAUAUGCUUGCUCAGGCUGAGUCCAUUAAACAAGGAGAAAGGGUUCUGAAGCUUCAUAGCACUGGCAGGGAUCCUUAUGGGAGUCCCAAGAAGAGUUGUAUAGACCUCGUGCACCCUGCAACUUUCGAGACGAUGGCAAUGGAUCCAGAGGUGAAGGAAAUGAUUAUAGAUGAUUUGGACAGGUUUGUGAAGAGAAGGGAGUUUUAUAAGAAGGUUGGGAAGGCUUGGAAAAGAGGGUAUUUGUUGUACGGUCCACCCGGUACUGGCAAAUCAAGCUUGAUUGCAGCCAUGGCUAAUUAUCUCAAGUUUGAUGUGUAUGAUUUGGAGCUUACUAGUGUUUAUGACAACUCGGAAUUGAGGAGGGUGUUGUUGUCUACUUCAAAUCGUUCUAUUCUGGUUGUGGAGGAUAUUGAUUGCAGUGUGCAAAUCAAAAGUAGGGAAUCAGCUCAACCUUCCAAAAGCUCUGCAAGCAAGUUCACCCUAUCGGGUUUAUUGAACUUCAUAGAUGGGCUGUGGUCAUGCUGCGGCGAUGAGCGAAUAAUUGUGUUCACCACCAAUCACAAGGAGAGAUUAGACCCUGCAUUGUUUCGUCCUGGUCGAAUGGACUUGCACAUUCACUUGUCAUAUUGCACUCCAAGUGGGUUCAGAAUCUUGGCCUCUAACUACCUUGGCAUUCAUGAAAGCAGCCCUCAUCACCUCUUUGGAGAAAUCGAAAGCUUAAUAAAGAUCACAGAGGUCACCCCUGCAGCUAUAGCAGAGGAGCUUAUGAAGAAUGAUGAUGCAGAUGUUGUUCUAGAAGGGCUUGUAAGAUUCCUCAAAGAAAAGAAGGCUGCAGAUGAUAAAUGAAGUCAAAACAGGCUAAAAUGGCUGAGCAGGAAAGGAUUAAGAAAGCAGAGGAGGAAGGGACUAACAAGGCAGAGGUGGUAGGGAAUGUGAGAGGAAAGGAGGAAGGGACUAACAAAUCAGAUAUCCAGGAAAUGGCAAACUGGUAG